rnacentral:lncRNA from 1 species
GAAAAUGGGCGAGAUUUCUCCCCAUUCUCGAGCUCAGAGUUUUCAAGCUUAGAUCAAGUUUUGGGAGCUUGGAGACCCAAGGAGUAGUUUCCUCCCAUCUCCAAGUUAGAGCUCGCACAACCCUCGAUCUUCAAGAGGAUCGGACCCGAGGAACCGAGGUGUUCAGCAGUGUUAGCUGCUUCAGAGUUAGUCCAGAGCUAGCCAGAGGU